rnacentral:rRNA from 1 species
ACCCGCUGAAUUUAAGCAUAUCAGUAAGCGGAGGAAAAGAAACUAACUAGGAUUCCCCGAGUAGCGGCGAGCGAAAAGGGAGAAGCCCAGCGCCGAAGCCCGCGUCCCCAGUGGGCGCCGGGCAAUGUGGCGUUACGGCGGCGGCUCGCGGACGCCGCGCCGGCACGAGUACCUCUGAAAGGGCCUUCCCAUAGCGGGUGUCAGGCCUCUACUCGCCGGUCGCGUGCGCUCGCCUGCCGUCGUCGCGGAGUCGGGUUGCUUGAGAGUGCAGCCCUAAUUGGGUGGUAAGCUCCAUCUAAGGCUAAAUACCUAGUGCGAGACCGAUAGCAAACAAGUACCGUGAGGGAAAGUUGCAAAGAACUUUGAAAAGAGAGUUCAAGAGUACGUGAAACCGUUCAGAGGCAAACGGACGGAACUGGGCGAGUUCGCCGUCGUCAUUCAGCCGGCCCCUUCGGGUGCCGGUGCACUUGGCGGCGGCGAAGCGCGACGACCGCCUGUCCGGUCGCCAGAAGCCCGGAGGCAAGGUGGCCGCUCGCCUCGGCGAGCGGUGUUACAGGCCUCCGAGGCGUUGGCUGACCGGUGUGGGCUAGGAUCGUUCGAGGUGCCCUCUGGCCUUCGGGUCGGAGUCGCGCGCGUUGCGGGCCGACGGGCCGCGGUGGCGAGCUGCGCACGCAGAUCGUUGUCGCGCGUUCCGGCGUGUCUUGUGGCGUGUGGCGACGGGUGCCCGGCGUCCGGGUCGCGUGGUUCCCGGCACUCCGUCCGACCCGUCUUGAAACACGGACCAAGGAGUUGAGCACGCUCGCGAGUCACUGGGCUCUAUCGAACCCCAACGGCGAAGCUAAGGCAAAACGGGCGUGAUCCGGCGUCGUUAAUCCGGCGCCGGCGCAACGCCGGCCCGCGGCUGACUCUUUGCCAGUGGCCGCGGCGCAAGAGCGAGUGUGCUCAGACCCGAAAGGUGGUGAACUAUGCUUGAGCAGGGCGAAGCCAGAGGAAACUCUGGUGGAGGCUCGCAGCGAUCCUGACGUGCAAAUCGGUCGUCAAACUUGAGCAUAGGGGCGAAAGACUAAUCGAACCGCCUAGUAGCUGGUUCCCUCCGAAGUUUCCCUCAGGAUAGCUGGCGCUCGUUUCAGUGGUUUUAUCCGGUAAAGCGAAUGAUUAGAGGCAUUGGGGACGAAACGUCCUCAACCUAUUCUCAAACUUUAAAUGGGUAAGAGGCGCGACCCUGCCUGAUCGGGGUCGCGUGCUCGAACACUUGAGUGCCCAGUGGGCCGUUUUUGGUAAGCAGAACUGGCGCUGUGGGAUGAACCAAACGCUGCGGCUAGGGUGCCAAACGCGCGCUCAUCAGACCCCACAAAAGGUGUUGGUUGAUAUAGACAGCAGGACGGUGGCCAUGGAAGUCGGAAUCCGCUAAGGAGUGUGUAACAACUCACCUGCCGAAUCAACUAGCCCUGAAAAUGGAUGGCGCUGGAGCGCGCGACCCAUGCCGGGCCGUCGGAGCAAUGCGUGCGAAAUGCCAGGCUCCGAUGAGUANGAGGGCGCGUCGGUGGCGUUGAAGCGUGGCGCGUGAGCGCGCGUGGAGCCGCCUCCGGUGCAGAUCCUGGUGGUGGAAGCAAGAAUACAAAUGAGAACUAUGUAUACCGAAACGGAGAAGGGUUCCGUGUGAACGUCAGUUGGACAUGGGUCAGUCGGCCCUGAGAGAUCGGAAAGUUCCGUUCUGAAUGUUGACGGGGUUGCUUAACAACGUGAGCUGUAAAGCACACCGUACGGCACGAGACGCGUCGCUUGCGCGUGCCGGGCAGACAAUGCUUUGAACUGCGCUCGCCAAGGCGACGCGCGUGCACGCCAUCGGUGCAACUGACGAGAGCGCGUCGGCGCCCGCGCCGUCUCAACGAGACGAUCGCGUGCGGCACGGGUAGCCGACACUUUGAACGCGCGUUCUCCGUCUACCGCAUCGGCGUGCAAUGCGCGUGUUGUCCCAGAGCUAUGCCCGGCGCGAAGCGCGCCUGCUGACAGUCGCGAGGCCGUUCGGGAAAAACGUGGAUUGACCACCACGCCCCGACGCGAUCGAAAGGGAAUCGGGUUAAUAUUCCCGAACUGGGUGGCGGAGAUCGGGCCUUCGGGCCCCAGUGCGGUAACGCGACCGAACUCGGAGACGCCAGCGUCGAUCCCGGGAAGAGUUCUCUUUUCUUUGUUAGGAGCGGACUCCCUGGAAUUGGCUUGUCCAGCGAUAGGGACGUUGCAUCCGUAAAGCGUCGCGCCUCACGCGGCGUCCGGUGCAUCGGCGCGGGCCCUUGAAAUUCCGAGGAAGGCAGUGUAAUUUUCGCCCCCAGCCGUACCCGAAUCCGCAGCAGGUCUCCAAGGUGAACAGCCUCUGGUCGAUAGAACAAUGUAGGUAAGGGAAGUCGGCAAAUCCGAUCCGUAACUUCGGGAUAAGGAUUGGCUCUGAGGUGCGGGCUGUUUCGGGUCGCGGCAAGAUGCGGGCCGUGCGUCGGCUGGGCUG